rnacentral:rRNA from 2 species
GGUUAAGCGAACAAGCGUACACGGUGGAUGCCCUGGCAGUCAGAGGCGAUGAAGGACGUGCUAAUCUGCGAAAAGCGCCGGUAAGGUGAUAUGAACCGUUAUAACCGGCGAUGUCCGAAUGGGGAAACCCGGUGCACUUCGGUGCAUCAUCGUUAGCUGAAUACAUAGGCUAACGAGGCGAACCGGGGGAACUGAAACAUCUAAGUACCCCGAGGAAAAGAAAUCAACCGAGAUUCCCCCAGUAGCGGCGAGCGAACGGGGAACAGCCCAGAGCCUGAAUCAGCUUGUGUGUCAGUGGAACGGUCUGGAAAGGCCGGCGAUACAGGGUGACAGCCCCGUACACGAAGGCACACAGGCUGUGAGCUCGAUGAGUAGGGCGGGACACGUGAUAUCCUGUCUGAAGAUGGGGGGACCAUCCUCCAAGGCUAAAUACUCCUGACUGACCGAUAGUGAACCAGUACCGUGAGGGAAAGGCGAAAAGAACCCCGGCGAGGGGAGUGAAACAGAACCUGAAACCGUGUACGUACAAGCAGUGGGAGCCUUCGUAAGAGGGUGACUGCGUACCUUUUGUAUAAUGGGUCAGCGACUUAUAUUCUGUAGCAAGGUUAACCGUAUAGGGGAGCCGAAGGGAAACCGAGUCUUAACCGGGCGUUAAGUUGCAGGGUAUAGACCCGAAACCCGGUGAUCUAGCCAUGGGCAGGUUGAAGGUUGGGUAACACUAACUGGAGGACCGAACCGACUAAUGUUGAAAAAUUAGCGGAUGACCUGUGGCUGGGGGUGAAAGGCCAAUCAAACCGGGAGAUAGCUGGUUCUCCCCGAAAGCUAUUUAGGUAGCGCCUCGUGAACUCAUCUCCGGGGGUAGAGCACUGUUUCGGCUAGGGGGCCAUCCCGGCUUACCAACCCGAUGCAAACUGCGAAUACCGGAGAAUGUUAUCACGGGAGACACACGGCGGGUGCUAACGUCCGUCGUGAAGAGGGAAACAACCCAGACCGCCAGCUAAGGUCCCAAAGUCAUGGUUAAGUGGGAAACGAUGUGGGAAGGCCCAGACAGCCAGGAUGUUGGCUUAGAAGCAGCCAUCAUUUAAAGAAAGCGUAAUAGCUCACUGGUCGAGUCGGCCUGCGCGGAAGAUGUAACGGGGCUAAACCAUGCACCGAAGCUGCGGCAGCGACGCUUAUGCGUUGUUGGGUAGGGGAGCGUUCUGUAAGCCUGCGAAGGUGUGCUGUGAGGCAUGCUGGAGGUAUCAGAAGUGCGAAUGCUGACAUAAGUAACGAUAAAGCGGGUGAAAAGCCCGCUCGCCGGAAGACCAAGGGUUCCUGUCCAACGUUAAUCGGGGCAGGGUGAGUCGACCCCUAAGGCGAGGCCGAAAGGCGUAGUCGAUGGGAAACAGGUUAAUAUUCCUGUACUUGGUGUUACUGCGAAGGGGGGACGGAGAAGGCUAUGUCGGCCGGGCGACGGUUGUCCCGGUUUAAGCGUGUAGGCUGACUUUCCAGGCAAAUCCGGAAAGUUAAGGCUGAGGCGUGAUGACGAGGCACCACGGUGCUGAAGUGACAAAUGCCCUGCUUCCAGGAAAAGCCUCUAAGCAUCAGGUAACAUCAAAUCGUACCCCAAACCGACACAGGUGGUCAGGUAGAGAAUACCAAGGCGCUUGAGAGAACUCGGGUGAAGGAACUAGGCAAAAUGGUGCCGUAACUUCGGGAGAAGGCACGCUGACAUGUAGGUGAAGCCCCUGCGGGUGGAGCUGAAGUCAGUCGAAGAUACCAGCUGGCUGCAACUGUUUAUUAAAAACACAGCACUGUGCAAACACGAAAGUGGACGUAUACGGUGUGACGCCUGCCCGGUGCCGGAAGGUUAAUUGAUGGGGUUAUCGCAAGAGAAGCUCCUGAUCGAAGCCCCGGUAAACGGCGGCCGUAACUAUAACGGUCCUAAGGUAGCGAAAUUCCUUGUCGGGUAAGUUCCGACCUGCACGAAUGGCGUAAUGAUGGCCAGGCUGUCUCCACCCGAGACUCAGUGAAAUUGAACUCGCUGUGAAGAUGCAGUGUACCCGCGGCAAGACGGAAAGACCCCGUGAACCUUUACUACAGCUUGACACUGAACAUUGAGCCUUGAUGUGUAGGAUAGGUGGGAGGCUUUGAAGCGUGGACGCCAGUCUGCGUGGAGCCGACCUUGAAAUACCACCCUUUAAUGUUUGAUGUUCUAACCUGGCGCCAUAAUCUGGCGUGGGGACAGUGUCUGGUGGGUAGUUUGACUGGGGCGGUCUCCUCCCAAAGUGUAACGGAGGAGCACGAAGGUCAGCUAAUCCUGGUCGGACAUCAGGAGGUUAGUGCAAUGGCAUAAGCUGGCUUGACUGCGAGAGUGACGGCUCGAGCAGGUGCGAAAGCAGGUCAUAGUGAUCCGGUGGUUCUGUAUGGAAGGGCCAUCGCUCAACGGAUAAAAGGUACUCCGGGGAUAACAGGCUGAUACCGCCCAAGAGUUCAUAUCGACGGCGGUGUUUGGCACCUCGAUGUCGGCUCAUCACAUCCUGGGGCUGAAGUAGGUCCCAAGGGUAUGGCUGUUCGCCAUUUAAAGUGGUACGCGAGCUGGGUUUAGAACGUCGUGAGACAGUUCGGUCCCUAUCUGCCGUGGGCGCUGGAGAAUUGAGGGGGGCUGCUCCCAGUACGAGAGGACCGGAGUGGACGCAUCACUGGUGUUCGGGUUGUCAUGCCAAUGGCACUGCCCGGUAGCUAAAUGCGGAAGAGAUAAGUGCUGAAAGCAUCUAAGCACGAAACUUGCCCCGAGAUGAGUUCUCCCUGAGACUAUAAGUCUCCUGAAGGAACGUUGAAGACGACGACGUUGAUAGGCCGGGUGUGUAAGCGCAGCGAUGCGUUGAGCUAACCGGUACUAAUGAACCGUGAGGCUUAACCUU